AUGCCGGAACAGCGGGUUCGCCGGCAAAGCAAUGUACAUCUCUCCCUCCAGCAUCUUCACCACCGCGCCCAUAGGCGGCUUCGCCUUCGAUUGCCGUUGCAUGCACCAGAACACCACCUUGCACAUCCUCCCCGCCAGCCCCCUACACAGCUGCCACUGCAGGUCAUCCACUGCAUCCAUGCCAUGGCAGCUCGGCGUCAUAAGCUCCACUUGUCGGCCACUUUCGUACUUGGUCCAUGCCAGCUUAGGGACCAUUGCUGGCUCUCGGGCGCGGCCUCGUCGAAGUUCCUCCGUCGACCGACGGGCACGAGCAGCAACAUGCCAAAGCUAUAA
rnacentral:rRNA from 1 species